UAAAAAAUUGUUACUGAUGAUCAUGACCAUCAUAAAAAGCUUGGUGUCAGAAGCUAAAACGUAUGCUUUAGUGAGAAACAAUUUCAAUAGCCCUUCCCAAUCAUUUCAUAAACUACCAUAAGUUUGCUUGAAAAUUAGAGCUGAAAGUAAACUGUUCAUGGAAUAUAUGUUAUAUAGCCCACUAAUUAGGAGAGAUAAAUUAAUUCAAAGUGAGACCUUUAUGCACUCAGCAGUUCUGUAUGUAUGUCAGUGUACGUAUGUCAGUGAUGUCAUAAUAUGAGUGCAUGAUAUGAGUCAUAAUAGGAGUGCAGUGUGUACUGGCCAGCAAAUAGAAACAGUGUGAAUAGUCUGCUUUGGACAAGGAUAUAAGCAUGGCUGUUCACACCAUUAUUUUUCUGCUCUUCUCUUUUUUAACAUGUGGCUGCUCCACAACUAACAAAAGGGAAACAUUAACUUCUUCUGAAGGUGAGCCACAGGCUCAGGGCUCGCAGCAGGGGAGGAGGGGCAAGGAGCUUGCGCUGGCGUUCCAGCCCUGCACCUGCCCAUGAGGAUGGAGUGUAGGCGCCGGCUCUCACACCAGGGCGAGCAGGGGAAGGCUUCCCAGAAGACCAAGAACAGGAUACUGGAUUCGUAAAGCGAGACCUAAUCAUUGCAGCCAUGAGUGCUCUGUUGGUGAUCAUUUCUGUUCUCCUGAUAUGUUUCUGUUUCCUUCAGUAUAAGCUUGUGAAUGAGGAAGAAAAAUAAAUGGCAAA